UACGUAGGCAGCGAGCGUUGUUCGGAGUUACUGGGCGUAAAGGGCGUGUAGGCGGUUGUUUAAGUUUGGUGUGAAAUCUCCCGGCUCAACUGGGAGGGUGCGCCGAAUACUGAAUGACUUGGAGUGCGGGAGAGGAGAGUGGAAUUCCUGGUGUAGCGGUGAAAUGCGUAGAUAUCAGGAGGAACACCGGUGGUGUAGACAGCUUACUGGACCACUUCUGACGCUGAGACACGAAAGCGUGGGUAGCAAACAGG
rnacentral:rRNA from 1 species